rnacentral:rRNA from 1 species
GUGCCUACGGGGGGCAGCAGUGGGGAAUAUUGCACAAUGGGGGAAACCCUGAUGCAGCGACGCCGCGUGAGCGAUGAAGUAUUUCGGAAUGUAAAGCUCUAUCAGCAGGGAAGAAAAUGACGGUACCUGACUAAGAAGCCCCGGCUAACUACGUGCCAGCAGCCGCGGUAAUACGUAGGGGGCAAGCGUUAUCCGGAUUUACUGGGUGUAAAGGGAGCGUAGACGGUUCUGCAAGUCUGAAGUGAAAGCCCGUGGCUUAACCGCGGAACGGCUUUGGAAACUGUG